rnacentral:rRNA from 1 species
GACGAACGCUGGCGGCGUGCCUAAUACAUGCAAGUAGAACGCUGAAGGAGGAGCUUGCUCUUCUGGAUGAGUUGCGAACGGGUGAGUAACGCGUAGGUAACCUGCCUGGUAGCGGGGGAUAACUAUUGGAAACGAUAGCUAAUACCGCAUAACAGUAGAUGUUGCAUGACAUUUGCUUAAAAGGUGCAAUUGCAUCACUACCAGAUGGCCCUGCGUUGUAUUAGCUAGUUGGGGGGGUAACGGCUCACCAAGGCGACGAUUCAUAGCCGACCUGAGCAGGUCGACGGCCAACCUGGGAAGGGGGCAAGGGCCAGACCUCCUACGGGAGGAACAAGAGGGGAACUUCGGACAUUGGCCGAAGGCUGGACGAAGAAAGGCGGGUGAGGGGAGGAGGGUUUCGGGUCGGUAAAGUCCGUUGUUAGGGAAGAAAGAGUGUGGGAGUGGAAAGUUCACGCUGUGACGGUAUCUGACCAGAAAGCGACGGCUAACUACGUG